CACAAACUGCAACCACUCAUGGCCUGUAUUAAGUAAUUCUUUGAAUUCGCGGGCAUUGGUGAGUCUAAGUUUUUAC
rfam:Weissella paramesenteroides ATCC 33313 genomic scaffold SCAFFOLD2, whole genome shotgun sequence.